GAUGAACGCUGGCGGCGUGCCUAAUACAUGCAAGUCGAACGGAAGGUAGCAAUACCUUUAGUGGCGAACGGGUGAGUAACACGUGGGUGAUCUGCCCUGCACUUCGGGAUAAGCCUGGGAAACUGGGUCUAAUACCGGAUAGGACCAUGGACUUCACGGUUUGUGGUGGAAAGCUUUUGCGGUGUGGGAUGGGCCCGCGGCCUAUCAGCUUGUUGGUGGGGUAAUGGCCUACCAAGGCGACGACGGGUAGCCGGCCUGAGAGGGUGUCCGGCCACACUGGGACUGAGAUACGGCCCAGACUCCUACGGGAGGCAGCAGUGGGGAAUAUUGCACAAUGGGCGCAAGCCUGAUGCAGCGACGCCGCGUGAGGGAUGACGGCCUUCGGGUUGUAACCGUCUUCAAUAGGACGAAGCGCAAGUGACGGUACCGUAUAGAAGAAGACACCGGCCAACUACGUGCCAGCAGCCGCGGUAA
rnacentral:rRNA from 1 species